GAUGAACGCUGGCGGCGUGCCUAAUACAUGCCAGUCGAGCGAACGGACGAGAAGCUUGCUUCUCUGAUGUUAGCGGCGGACGGGUGAGUAACACGUGGAUAACCUACCUAUAAGACUGGGAUAACUUCGGGAAACCGGAGCUAAUACCGGAUAAUAUUUUGAACCGCAUGGUUCAAAAGUGAAAGACGGUCUUGCUGUCACUUAUAGAUGGAUCCGCGCUGCAUUAGCUAGUUGGUAAGGUAACGGCUUACCAAGGCAACGAUGCAUAGCCGACCUGAGAGAGUGAUCGGCCACACUGGAACUGAGACACGGUCCAGACUACUACGGGAGGCAGCAGUAGGGAAUCUUCCGCAAUGGGCGAAAGCCUGACGGAGCAACGCCGCGUGAGUGAUGAAGGUCUUCGGAUCGUAAAACUCUGUUAUUAGGGAAGAACAUAUGUGUAAGUAACUGUGCACAUCUUGACGGUACCUAAUCAGAAAGCCACGGCUAACUACGUG
rnacentral:rRNA from 1 species